rnacentral:rRNA from 1 species
GACGGGCUUGCGGCUGAUUAGCUAGUUGGGGAGGUAAUGGCUUACCAANGCGACGNUCAGUAGCUGGUCUGAGAGGACGAUCAGCCACACUGGGACNNNGACACGGCCCAGACUCCUACGGGAGGCAGCAGUGAGGAAUUUUCCGCAAUGGGUGAAAGCCUGACGGAGCAAUACCGCGUGAAGGAUGACGGCCCGUGGGUUGUAAACUUCUUUUCUCAAGGAAGAAUUUUGACAUUAUUUGAGGAAUAAGCAUCGACUAACUCCGUGCCAGCAGUCGCGGUAAUACGGGGGAUGCAAGCGUUAUCCGGAAUGAUUGGGCGUNAAGAGUCUGUAGGNGGUUUUUCAAGUCCGGUGUCAAAGACCAGGGCUUAACCCUGGGUCGGCAGCGGAAACUAGAAAACUUGAGUACGGUAGAGGUAGAGGGAAUUCCCAGUGUAACGUGAAAUGUGUAGAUAUUGGGAGGAACACCGAUGGCGAAAGCACUCUACUGGGCCGAAACUGACGCUGAGAGACGAAAGCUAGAGUAGCGAAUAUGAUUAGAUAAUCAUGUCUCCGCAUUAUAAUAGAGACGAAGGUGUCCCCUUCGACUGCGAAGUCGGAGUGCGCAUCCAGCUAUAUCGGGGAAAACCUCAUUUGAGAUAAUCCCGAGGGAAGUUAGCGGUUCUUAACUGACUAACCCCGUAGAGACUAUGAAACUAUAGGAGACACGUUGGUACAAAAAAAACACUUUCCGCCAGGAACUAAAGAGUUUUAUCAAUUACCUUUGUCCGAUCAAACAAAACAAAUUAUCCUAGGAAGUCUUUUAGGAGAUGGUAGUUUAAAGAUUAAUAGAAACUACCGUAACGCAAAAUACGCCGAACGCCACUCAAUCACUCAAAAAGAGUAUAUAGAGUGGAAAGUGUCCCAACUUCUUCCAGAGUUAAACGGAACAUUGAGAGUUCGCGAAUCAAGCAGGCCGUUGAGUGACAACCAAGUGCUUCACUAUCAAAGUCACGUAAGUGAAUCUUUAACAGUGCUGCAUAAGCUGACGCAUAAAAGAAAUACAAAGUAUGUUCGACGUCGGUGGUUAAACAAAAUGACACCAUUAGCAUUAGCGAUUUGGUGGCUUGAUGAUGGUUCUAACGUUUCCCGUGGUCGUCAAGGAGUUAUCUGCACCGAUGGGUUUUCAAUCCAAGAGGUAAAGAUCUUAGCAAACUACUUAACGAAGGUUUGGGAAGUAAAAGUUCGCGUUUCUGUUACAACACGAAAAAAUGGUAAACAGUUUGCCCGUAUUUGGUUUCUAAACCGAGAGGCAUAUCUGACUUUUCUUCGUAUUAUCUUACCUCAUAUUCCUGUACCUUCAAUGCUUAAGAAGGUAAUGAUUUGUUAUUCUGAUCCUGUACUUCAACAACGCUGGAUUUCUGAAGUCACUUCCAAUUUACCGCAUUUUCAAGAACAUAUCGAUUCUGCGUAUUUGGAGCCGUGUAAAACUUAUACCGACUUGGUAACAAGCACACGUGACCUAAGGUUUUUUGAUGUUUUUUAUCAAACAGACCGAUUUCAGAAAAUGAUAUAGUCCAAUAACAUUACUACAAUGACCAUAGUAGUUCUAGCCGUAAACGAUGGAUACUAAGUAUUGGGUGAUUAAAAACAUUCAGUACUUUASSUAACGCGUUAAGUAUCCCGCCUGGGGAGUAUGCUCGCARGGNNNNNNCUCAAAGGAAUUGACGGGGGCUCGCACAAGCAGUGGAGCAUGUGGUUUAAUUCGAUGAUACGCGAAGAACCUUACCAAGGUUUGACAUGUCACGCCGAGUCGCGAAAGUGACUUUUUUGCUGCUGGACUGAGUCCGGCAUUAAGCAACGUGAACACAGGUGGUGCAUGGUUGUCGUCAGCUCGUGCCGUGAGGUGUUAGGUUAAGUCCUGCAACGAGCGCAACCCUUAUCGACUAGUUGCCUUUUAGGGAAACUAGCGAGACUGCCGGUGAUAAGCCGGAGGACGGUGAGGAUGACGUCAAAUCAGCAUGCCCCUUACAUCUUGGGCUACACACGUGCUACAAUGGCUGGGACAAUGGGAUGCAACUUCGCGAGAAGAAGCCAACCUCAAAAACCCAGUCUUAGUUCGGAUUGCAGGCUGCAACUCGCCUGUAUGAAGCCGGAAUUGCUAGUAAUCGCUGGUCAGCAAUACAGCGGUGAAUACGUUCCCGAGCCUUGUACACACCGCCCGUCACACCAUGGAAGUUGGUUCCGCCCGAAGUCGUGGAUCUAACCUUUUGGAAGAAAGCGCCUACGGUGUAACUAGUAACUAUGGUGAAGUCGUAACAAGGUAUCCGUACUGGAAGGUGUGGAUUGGAAUACCUCCUUU